rnacentral:rRNA from 1 species
AUUGAACGCUGGCGGCAGGCCUAACACAUGCAAGUCGAGCGGAUGAAGGGAGCUUGCUCCUGGAUUCAGCGGCGGACGGGUGAGUAAUGCCUAGGAAUCUGCCUGGUAGUGGGGGAUAACGUCCGGAAACGGGCGCUAAUACCGCAUACGUCCUGAGGGAGAAAGUGGGGGAUCUUCGGACCUCACGCUAUCAGAUAAGCCUAGGUCGGAUUAGCUAGUUGGUGGGGUAAAGGCCUACCAAGGCGACGAUCCGUAACUGGUCUGAGAGGAUGAUCAGUCACACUGGAACUGAGACACGGUCCAGACCCCUACGGGAGGCAGCAGUGGGGAAUAUUGGACAAUGGGCGAAAGCCUGAUCCAGCCAUGCCGCGUGUGUGAAGAAGGUCUUCGGAUUGUAAAGCACUUUAAGUUGGGAGGAAGGGCAGUAAGUUAAUACCUUGCUGUUUUGACGUUACCAACAGAAUAAGCACCGGCUAACUUCGUG